ACUUAUGUAUACGUCUGCUGCAGUUUCCCUCCUAUUUGCAUACGUUAUUAUCGUCAUAUACAACGUCAUCUUAUAAUAUUAAUUUUAUUAUUGUUGUUUCCAUUUUUAAUUAUUAUCAAUAUUAUUAUUAUCAUUAUUAUUAUUAUCAUUAUCAUUAUCAUUAAUGUUAUUAAUGCUAUUAAUGUUAUUGUUACUGUUAAUAUAGUUGUCGUCGUUGUCGUGCAUGGUCGUUGCGUUGUCGCGUUAUCGGUGUCGAUGUCAUUGUCGUUACUGCUGCUGUUACUGUUGUUGUUACUAUUGAUUGAUCCAUACAUUCUCAACGCAUUCGACUCAACAACAUGGCAUUAUUCAUUUGCACCCACAUUCUUUCAACGCACUUCGUCAGACUAUACAUACACGGCAUCCGAAUAAAAUUAUACAGUGCGAAAGGCAAGAAGUCUUGCAGACAAUCAUCACUCAACUUUUGCAUGAUUAUGGUAUAAG
rnacentral:misc_RNA from 1 species